rnacentral:rRNA from 1 species
CCUACGGGCGGCAGCAGUGGGGAAUAUUGGGCAAUGGGCGCGAGCCUGACCCAGCCACGCCGCGUGAAGGAAGAAGGCUUUCGGGUUGUAAACUUCUUUUGACAGGGGAGAGUUGAAGACUGUACCUGUCGAAUAAGCCACGGCUAACUACGUGCCAGUAGCCGCGGUAAUACGUAGGUGGCAGGCGUUGUCCGGAUUUACUGGGUGUAAAGGGCGUGUAGCCGGGUUGGCAAGUCAGAUGUGAAAUCCUGGGGCUUAACCGAAGAACUGCGUUUGAAACUGGUGAUCUUGAGUACAGGUGAGGCAGACGGAAUGAGUAGAGUAGCGGUGAAAUGCUUAGAUAUUAGGAGGAACACCAGUGGCGAAGGCGGUCUGCUGGACAGCAACUGACGGUGAGGCGCGAAAGCGUGGGGAGCAAACAGGAUUAGAUACCCUAGUAGUC